AUUGAACGCUGGCGGCAUGCUUUACACAUGCAAGUCGAACGAGUGGCGAACGGGUGAGUAAUAUGUAGGAACGUACCGAGUAAUGGGGGAUAACCAAUCGAAAGAUUGGCUAAUACCGCAUAUUAUUCGAGCGGCCGAUAACUGAUUAGCUAGUUGGGUGGGUAAAGGCCUACCAAGGCGACGAUCAGUAGCGGGUCUGAGAGGACGAACCGCCACACUGGGACUGAGACACGGCCCAGACUCCUACGGGAGGCAGCAGUGGGGAAUUUUGGACAAUGGAGGAAAGCCUGAUCCAGCCAUGCCGCGUGAAUGAAGAAGGCCUUCGGAUUGUAAAGUACUUUUGUUAGGGAAGCGGUACCUAAAGAAUAAGCACCGGCUAACUACGUGCCAGCAGCCGCGGUAAUAC
rnacentral:rRNA from 1 species